rnacentral:lncRNA from 1 species
AGUCCAUACUAAGUUAAUCCUAAUAAUUCAAGCAACCAAAUCAAUAAGGAUUUGAUAACAUUUUCUUAAAAUUAAAAUCGUGGUUUUUAAGGUAAUCAUGAAAGUUUACCAUACUCCCUUCCUUCAUUGUUUGAGUAGUGUAUGUUGGCAAGAUUGUGUGUGCUGGAGAACGAAGUUGAAAGAUUGAAGAAAAAUGCUCUGCUGAGAAGGGGUGCUGAAAAUGUUGAAGGAUUUUCACAACAACCUUGGGAUCCAUCCACGUGGAAUUCCUAAGCUGAGAUAGUUAUUCCUCCUCCAAUCUAGGGAAGGUUUCUUGGACUUGGAAGCUAUUGACAAGAAGUUUAACAAUGGGAGUAGUCACUCAAUAUUUAUUAAGCAUUUAUUAUGUGCCAGAUACUGUGGUAAGUACAAAGAUGCCCCGUCAAAGGACCUAGUUGGAAUUUAGUAUGCACCUAAUCCCUUAAUUAAUCCUUGAUUAAUGAGAACAUUGAAUUCAUAUUGACUGAAUUAAGACUCAUGGACUUUCUCACUUGGUUUUAUUAUUUUUCAUGUAAACAAGAAUUGGUGUGGAGAAAAGAGUGGUGGAUUUGGAAUCAGAGAACCUGGGUUUGAAUCUUGUCUCUAUUACUUACUACCUGUGUGACCUCAGCCAAAUUAUUUAACUCCUUAUAGUUCAGUUUCCUUCUUCGUACAAUGAGGAGGUUGGCUAAGUGAACUCUAAGAUCAUCUACAUUUAUAAGUUGUUUCUAUCCUAUGAUUCAGUGAAAAGACUGUUUGGAUGAAACUGCUCAUGUAAACUGGUUCUUUAAAAAAAUAUUUUUCUAUCUUUUUUCUUUCUUUUUUUUUGUAAAUUCAUUCAUUCAUUCAUUCAUUCAUUCACUUACCUAUUUACUUACUUAUAGCUGGUUCUUGCCAGAAAGAUCUGAACAGAACUGCCAUAUCCAUGACUAACAUCUGCCAUGUGCCAUCCCUUCCUGAUAACCUUCCUACUAGAAGGUGAGGGACCUCGGAA